rnacentral:rRNA from 1 species
GACGAACGCUGGCGGCGUGCUUAACACAUGCAAGUCGAACGGAAAGGCCCUGCUUUUGUGGGGUGCUCGAGUGGCGAACGGGUGAGUAACACGUGAGUAACCUGCCCUUGACUUUGGGAUAACUUCAGGAAACUGGGGCUAAUACCGGAUAGGAGCUCCUGCUGCAUGGUGGGGGUUGGAAAGUUUCGGCGGUUGGGGAUGGACUCGCGGCUUAUCAGCUUGUUGGUGGGGUAGUGGCUUACCAAGGCUUUGACGGGUAGCCGGCCUGAGAGGGUGACCGGCCACAUUGGGACUGAGAUACGGCCCAGACUCCUACGGGAGGCAGCAGUGGGGAAUAUUGCACAAUGGGCGGAAGCCUGAUGCAGCAACGCCGCGUGCGGGAGGACGGCUUUCGGGUGGUAAACCGCUUUCGCCUGUGACGAAGCGUGAGUGACGGUAAUGGGGAAAGAAGCACCGGCUAACUACGU